AUUGUUUCUCGGCCUUUUGGCUAAGAUCAAAUGUAGUAUUUGUCCUUAUCAGUUUAGUAUUUGACACGUCCUCUAUCUGAGGACAAUAUAUUAAAUGAAUUUUGGGGGCAGGGAUAUGGAAUGGGGCUUGCUUCGUCCACUCUACAUAUUGAUUUGGUAUUGCAGUAACUCCAGGAAUGGUGCACCCGUU